rnacentral:lncRNA from 1 species
GGUGUUUUAGUACUGUGUGCCUUGACAUUUUCGAAGUUUCCCCCAGUAAUAUGGAAUAUAAAUUCUGAAGUGUUGAGAGCAGCCAAAAUUUUUAAUGCUAGCCAUUCAUCAUUUAAUGCUAGCCACCAGGUCUGGGAAGUGGCUCACAGUUGACAAAGUGGGAACCAGAGUUUGGAUGCCACUGAGUGUGGUAACCCACCAGUAAUUCUAGCACUGAGGAAGCUCAGAUGGGAUCCGUGGAACAAGUUGGUUAGCUAACAUAGUCGUAUUAGUGAGCUCUGGGUCCGACUGAGAGGCUCUGCCUCAGUGAACAAGGUGCAAAGCAGUAGAAGAAGAUUCUCAGUGUGAGCCUCAAGCCUCUACACACUCCCACUUGAGUGUGCAUCCACGUGUUCAGUUAACACGCAAACAUUCAUACAUGCACACAUACAUACAUAAAUAAACAAAAAAUAAAAGAAUAAAGUCACCAAAAUGGAGAAAAUGAUAACUCAGUAAACAGAAAGCUGUGUACUCUAAUCAGUAAACUAUGCCCAGUCCUGGCAAACUCCAUUGUAACUACCAUGUUUAGGGUUGCUAGAGUCUAGAUGAAGAUUUGUAAUUAUUUUCUGCUUUCUCAUUCCCAGAGGUUGAAAAACUAGGGUCUGCCUCCAGAAAUCUAAGAUUUUAAAUUUUCUCAAAUGAAAUAAAACUAAAAAUUGCAUUUGCCUUCUAUACAAAAUAUCCAAUCAAAUUGAAAUAUUCCUAUGUAUUAGAAAAUCUUCAAAGGUAUUUCUGUAGGGACUAGGGUAUUUAGGAAGCUUCAGUGGUCGGAGUGUGGUGACUGAUGUGGUCGUUGAAAUCGACUGUUACAAGCAUGCAGGCUACUGGUAAAUACUGAGGAAUGAGAGAAUAAAAAAGAGGCAAAGAAACCAAAAGCCCCUUUACUUCAGUGUUCCAGCUGUGUGUGUGUGUGUGUUGGGCGUGGUCUUUGUCACUGUUUCCUUAGCAGAGAUUGUUCAUGUGGAGGUGCCAUCUUCUAACAGGUUAUGACACACCUCCGUGUGAUCUACGAGCGCAUGAACCAGUCUCUGUCCCUGCUCUACAAUGUCCCUGCGGUGGCUGAGGAGAUUCAAGAUGAAGUCGGUAAGUGAGCUGUCCUUCGGAUGUUCUCCGAGAGAUAGGCUUACCCCCAGAACACAUCAGGGCUGAGAGUCUUCUGUGUCUGUCACCUGUGCCCAGGUGCCUACGCGUUGUACAGUACAUUUUGUGGGUUGGUGGAGGGAGGGGGGGUUUCACACGUGUGUGAAUGAGUCUAAAAUCCUUCAGUGCACAUGGCAACCAGGGGAAGGAAGAUACCAGGUGUUGGAAGAUACUAGGUGUUGGAAGAUACCACCAGGUGUUCUACUCUAUCACCCCGUUCUCAUGGGACAGUUGCUAUCUGAACCUAGAGCUUGGGUGGUGGCCAGCAAAGCCCCGUGAUUUCCCUUAAUGGUGCUGGGAUUCCGGGGCCACAUGCUUAUACAUGGAUGCUGAGGGUUGAAGCAUAGCUCCUCUCAUUUACACAGCAGGCAAUCUCGCCCAUUCUGCCCUCUCUAGCCCCAGAUCGCCUCUUACAGUGAAUCUCACCUUGGCUGCUGCUUCAGCUCUUAACUUUCAAUGCCUGUGAGACCUAAAGAUGUAACCUGGUAUAGAGAAGACCUUGAAGUCUUCAAGCAGUGAAUCAGUUGUUGAAUCCCAUGUCAACAGUGAUAUUCUAAUUUAUCCAAUCUUGUAGGUAGAUACUCACUAGGCUUCUCUACUUUAUAACUAAGCACAGUAGUUUUAGCCUACCCUGUGUAUCGAGAGCUCAACUCCCCAUUUGUUUUUCACUUCCUUAAAUUUCUUGUGACUGCACGUUUCAGUUAUGUUUGGAAGACAGAGAUCAGUAAUAAGUCCUCUAUAUAAGAAGUCAAGAACUGGGUACAGUAAUCCAUGCCUGUAAUUGUGGCACUUGUGAGGCUCAAACAGGGAAUUGCUUCAAGUUCAAGUCCAGCUGGUACUACGGAGUGAGUUCAAGUCCAGUCUAGGAUACACAGUGAAACCUAUCUCAAGG